UACGUAGGGUGCGAGCGUUAAUCGGAAUUACUGGGCGUAAAGCGUGCGCAGGCGGUUUUGUAAGCCAGAUGUGAAAUCCCCGGGCUUAACCUGGGAAUGGCAUUUGGGACUGCAAGGCUUGAGUGCGGCAGAGGAGACUGGAAUUCCCGGUGUAGCAGUGAAAUGCGUAGAUAUCGGGAGGAAUACCGAUGGCGAAGGCAGUUCUCUAGUACGGUACUGACGCUGAGACGCGAAAGCGUGGGGAGCGAACAGG
rnacentral:rRNA from 1 species